rnacentral:rRNA from 1 species
UACGGAGGGUGCGAGCGUUGUCCGGAAUCAUUGGGCGUAAAGGGCGCGUAGGUGGCCCGGUCAGUCCGUGGUGAAAGCGCGGGGCUCAACCCUGCGUCGGCCAUGGAUACUGCCGCGGCUCGAGCACUGUAGAGGCAGGCGGAAUUCCGGGUGUAGCGGUGGAAUGCGUAGAGAUCCGGAAGAACACCGGUGGCGAAGGCGGCGCUCGUGGGCCGGAACUGGCGACGCGUGAGAGCGGAAAGCCGAAU